rnacentral:rRNA from 1 species
AAUAGAUACCCGGGUAGUCCACGCCGUAAACGAUGUCGACUUGGAGGUUGUUCCCUUGAGGAGUGGCUUCCGGAGCUAACGCGUUAAGUCGACCGCCUGGGGAGUACGGCCGCAAGGUUAAAACUCAAAUGAAUUGACGGGGGCCCGCACAAGCGGUGGAGCAUGUGGUUUAAUUCGAUGCAACGCGAAGAACCUUACCUACUCUUGACAUCCAGAGAACUUUCCAGAGAUGGAUUGGUGCCUUCGGGAACUCUGAGACAGGUGCUGCAUGGCUGUCGUCAGCUCGUGUUGUGAAAUGUUGGGUUAAGUCCCGCAACGAGCGCAACCCUUAUCCUUUGUUGCCAGCGGUUCGGCCGGGAACUCAAAGGAGACUGCCAGUGAUAAACUGGAGGAAGGUGGGGAUGACGUCAAGUCAUCAUGGCCCUUACGAGUAGGGCUACACACGUGCUACAAUGGCGUAUACAAAGAGAAGCGACCUCGCGAGAGCAAGCGGACCUCAUAAAGUACGUCGUAGUCCGGAUUGGAGUCUGCAACUCGACUCC